ACGGAAGGCAGCAGUGAGGAAUAUUGGUCAAUGGGCGAAAGCCUGAACCAGCCAAGUCGCGUGAAGGAUGAAGGUAUUAUGUAUUGUAAACUUCUUUAGCAGCAGAGUAAUAAGGGGGUCGUGACCCCCGAUGCAAGUAUGCUGAAAAUAAGGAUCGGCUAACUCCGUGCCAGCAGCCGCGGUAAUACGGAGGAUCCGAGCGUUAUCCGGAUUUAUUGGGUUUAAAGGGUGCGCAGGCGGUUUUUUAAGUCAGUGGUUAAAUCGUGAGGCUCAACCUCAUCACGCCAUUGAUACUGGAAGACUUGAUUGCGGUUGAGGUUGGCGGAAUUCGUCGUGUAGCGGUGAAAUGCAUAGAUAUGACGAAGAACACCGAUUGCGUAGGCAGCUGACCAAGCCGUAAAUGACGCUCAUGCACGAAAGUGCGGGGAUCGAAUAGGAUUAGAUACCCUGGUA
rnacentral:rRNA from 1 species